rnacentral:rRNA from 1 species
UACGAAGGGGGCUAGCGUUGCUCGGAAUCACUGGGCGUAAAGGGUGCGUAGGCGGGUCUUUAAGUCCGGGGGGAAAUCCUGGAGCGCAACUCCAGAACUGCCUUUGAUACUGAGGAUCUUGAGUUCGGGAGAGGUGAGUGGAACUGCGAGUGUAGAGGUGAAAUUCGUAGAUAUUCGCAAGAACACCAGUGGCGAAGGCGGCUCACUGGCCCGAUACUGACGCUGAGGCACGAAAGCGUGGGGAGCAAACAGG